UACGGAGAGUGCAAGCGUUGUUCGGAAUUAUUGGGCUUAAAGCGCGUGUAGGCGGGAUGCUAGGUAUCGUGUGAAAGCCCCGGUCUCAAUCCGGGAAUUGCAAGGUAAACCUGCAUUCUUGAGGCAGGCAGAGGUGGCUGGAACGACUGGUGGAGCGGUGAAAUGCGUAGAUAUCAGUUGGAACGCCGGCGGCGAAAGCGAGCCACUGGGCCUGUCCUGACGCUGAGACGCGAAAGCGUGGGUAGCGAACAGGAUUAGAUACCCCAGUA
rnacentral:rRNA from 1 species